rnacentral:rRNA from 1 species
AGUAAAAGUCGUAACAAGGUUUCCGUAGGUGAACCUGCGGAAGGAUCAUUACCGAGAGGGGGGCUUUCACGUCCCCUGGGGCUUCGGCCUCGACUCUUCACCCUGUGCGUACCUACCGUUGUUGCUUCGGCGGGCCGUCGUUCGCGCCGCGUGCCCGGGGGUGACCCCGGGCCCCGCGUGCGCCCGCCGGAGGCCCUUCAAACCCUCUCAUCAAUGUUGUCCGAGGAAAAAAAUUCAAUAACUAAAACUUUCAACAACGGAUCUCUUGGUUCUGGCAUCGAUGAAGAACGCAGCGAAAUGCGAUAACUAAUGUGAAUUGCAGAAUUCAGUGAAUCAUCGAAUCUUUGAACGCACAUUGCGCCCCUUGGUAUUCCGAGGGGCAUGCCUGUUCGAGCGUCAUUGCAACCCUCAAGCGCUGCUUGGUACUGGGCUUCGUCCGUAAGGACGUGCCCGAAAGUUAGUGGCGGUCCGGCCGGGACCCCGAGCGCAGUAGAUUACCUUCCGCUCUGGGUGAUCCCGCGGCGGCCAGCCAGUUAAACCCCAAUUAUUUCAAUGGUUGACCUCGGAUCAGGUAGGGAUACCCGCUGAACUUAAGCAUAUCAAUAAGCGGAGGAAAAGAAACCAACAGGGAUUGCCUCAGUAACGGCGAGUGAAGCGGCAACAGCUCAAAUUUGAAAUCUGACCCUUUCAGGGCCCGAGUUGUAAUUUGUAGAGGAUGUUUCGGGUGCGGUGCCGGUCUAAGUCCCUUGGAACAGGGCGUCAUAGAGGGUGAGAAUCCCGUAUGUGAUCGGUGGCCAACCCCAUGUGAAACCCCUUCGACGAGU